UAUUGUCUACAACAAAUGGCUGUCAAGUCUUAGUGUGCACGACAGCGAGAAUUCGCUUCAGUGUAAGCAUGGCAGAAAAUAUAGCAUUUUCAUGCGUUUUCGUUUUUUUAGGUGUGGCGUCGUCCAAUGGCGUUAUAGAAAAAGGAGCAGUUCCAUUCCUGACUCAGGAUAUCAGAAAGGUGCUGUGUUCGUUGGAAAGGAGACCCUAAUUUAUUGGAGGAAAAAGUUUCAUUGCGCAGUGAUUAAAGUGGCACCUUCACUACGUGGUCACCAGCCGUAUUAUGAACUCCGUGUUUGGAAUUCCACAGCAUCUGUCGGCCCUCACGAAAAAUGUACCAGACGAUUCCAAAAACUAGGUAAAAAAGGACGCGUCAUUUACCACUCCAAGUGUCAGGACAUUCUGAAGGUGUGAAUACCGGAGCAUGGCGCAAAAGCUAGAGCGACGCAAAUGUUUAUUAACUACACUACGUCCAAGAUUUAUCAAUACCUAAAAAUGAAAUAAAACGUUGGCAACAGUGCGUUAUGUCAUGAUA